rnacentral:rRNA from 1 species
AGGGUUUAAUAUUUCAAAGAGAUAAGAAAUUCUUUUGUCCAGACGUGUGAAUACUUCCAUAUUUUUUUAAUAAUACCUUUUGUAUAAUGGUCAAGCUAAUAUUUUUAUAGUUAUGAGUUCCCGAAUUAAGAAGAUCUAACUUUAUUCUUUUUUGGGAAGACAUGGUUCUUGUAGCAUUAAGAACUUAAAAAAGAAAGUUAGGGGCGAAAAACCUACAAUUCUUAAGAUAGCUGGAUCCCCGGGAAAUGUAUUUAGUACAAGAAGACAGGCAAUAAGUGUCGAGAUUUAUUGCGGUGAGAAUUACAUCUUAAAUUUUAACCUAAUUGGGUUAACACCCUAUUUGGUGUCUAAAUUAAAAACUUGACUGGUAAAAGAAUCUCUUCUUUACCGGGGAAGAACAUAAAAUUUUUUUUGUUCUUGAUAAUGCUUGAAUGAGUAAUAGUGUGAGAUGAGCUUAAGGAACUCGGCAAAGAUUUCCCUCGUCUGUUUACCAAAAACAUAGCCUUAAGGAGGUUCGAUUUAAGGUAAGCCCUGCCCGGUGAAAAAGUUUUUAACGGCCGCAGUACCCUGACUGUGCUAAGGUAGCGUAAUCAGUUGGCUUUUAAAUGGAGUCGAGAAUGAAUGGGUCUUCGGGGGAAAACUGUCUCAAGUUCACUUUUUUGAAUUUCCUUAGAGGGUGAAAAUUCCCUCGAUCAAGAUAAAAGACGAGAAGACCCUUAGAGUCUUUACUAAGUAGUGUAUUUCACUUAGAAGUUUUUGUUGGGGCGACAAAGAGGCAUAAAUAAUUUACUUAACCCUCUAUUUAUAUUUCUUACCGGACGAGAAUGCUAAGAAAGAUAAGACUACCUUAGGGAUAACAGCAUUAUUUUUUUAUAAGCUUGUGACCUCGAUGUUGGACUAGGGACCUAGUGGCUAGCCGCCAGUAAGGCAAGUUCUGUUCGAACUUCUUUUCCCUACAUGAUCUGAGUUCAGACCGGCGUAAGCCAGGUCAGAUUCUAUCUUUUAUUCGAAGCUUUUUUAGUACGAAAGGACCAGAAAGCUGCAAAUUAUUGUUUAC